rnacentral:rRNA from 1 species
UUCGCCCUUAGAGUUUGAUCCUGGCUCAGGAUGAACGCUGGCGGCGUGCUUAACACAUGCAAGUCGAACGGGGGUCAUCGGGUGGAACUUUUCGGAGGGAAGCCUUAUGACUCGAGUGGCGGACGGGUGAGUAACACGUGAGUAACCUGCCUUUUGCCGGGGAAUAACUGUGGGAAACCAUGGCUAAUACCGCAUAUUGUGUCUACAAGGCAUCUUGUGGAUAUGAAAGGAGCAAUCCGGCAGAAGAUGGGCUCGCGUCCGAUUAGGUAGUUGGUGGGGUAAUGGCCUACCAAGCCUGCGAUCGGUAGCCGGACUGAGAGGUCGAACGGCCACAUUGGGACUGAGACACGGCCCAGACUCCUACGGGAGGCAGCAGUGGGGAAUUUUGGGCAAUGGGGGAAACCCUGACCCAGCGACGCCGCGUGAAGGACGAAGGCCUUCGGGUUGUAAACUUCUUUAGGGAGGGACGAAAAUGACGGUACCUCCAGAAUAAGCCACGGCUAACUACGUGCCAGCAGCCGCGGUAAUACGUAGGUGGCAAGCGUUAUCCGGAUUUACUGGGUGUAAAGGGCGCGCAGGCGGCCCUGCAAGUCAGAUGUGAAAGCUCAAGGCUUAACCUUGGAAUGUCAUCUGAAACUGUGGGACUUGAGUAUCAGAGGGGAAAGUGGAAUUCCUGGUGGAGCGGUAAAAUGCGCAGAGAUCAGGAGGAACACCGGUGGCGAAGGCGACUUUCUGGCUGACAACUGACGCUGAGGCGCGAAAGCGUGGGGAGCAAACAAAAGGAGAUACCCUGGUAGUCCACGCCGUAAACGAUGAUUACUGGGUGUAGGGGGUAUCGACUCCCUCUGUGCCGAAGCUAACGCGAUAAGUAAUCCACCUGGGGAGUACGGCCGCAAGGCUAAAACUCAAAGGAAUUGACGGGGGCCCGCACAAGCAGUGGAGUAUGUGGUUUAAUUCGAGGCAACGCGAAGAACCUUACCAGGGUUUGACAUCCCGCGCUAGAGGUAGAGAUACCUUGUUCCCUUCGGGGACGCGGAGACAGGUGGUGCAUGGUUGUCGUCAGCUCGUGUCGUGAGAUGUUCGGUUAAGUCCGGCAACGAGCGCAACCCUCGUGGCCAGUUGCCAUCACGUCAAGGUGGGCACUCUAAGGAGACUGCCGGUGACAAACCGGAGGAAGGUGGGGAGGACGUCAAAUCCUCAUGCCCCCUAUGUUCUGGGCUACACACGUGCUACAAUGGCCUGUACAACGGGUUGCGAAGGGGUGACCUGGAGCUAAUCCUCUAAAACAGGUCUCAGUUCGGAUUGCAGGCUGUAACUCGCCUGCAUGAAGUCGGAAUCGCUAGUAAUCGUGGAUCAGCAUGCCGCGGCGAAUAAAAGGCCGGGCCUUGCACUCCCCGCCCGUCA